rnacentral:rRNA from 1 species
GGGAUAACAUUUGGAAACAGAUGCUAAUACCGCAUAAGAUUACAGUACCGCAUGAUACAGUGAUCAAAGGAGCAAUCCGCUGAAAGAUGGGCUCGCGUCCGAUUAGAUAGUUGGUGAGGUAACGGCUCACCAAGUCGACGAUCGGUAGCCGGACUGAGAGGUUGAACGGCCACAUUGGGACUGAGACACGGCCCAGACUCCUACGGGAGGCAGCAGUGGGGAAUAUUGCACAAUGGGCGAAAGCCUGAUGCAGCAACGCCGCGUGAGGGAAGACGGUUUUCGGAUUGUAAACCUCUGUUUUCGGUGACGAAUAAAUGACGGUAACCGAGUAGGAAGCCACGGCUAACUACGUGCCAGCAGCCGCGGUAAUACGUAGGUGGCAAGCGUUAUCCGGAAUUACUGGGUGUAAAGGGAGCGCAGGCGGGAUAGCAAGUCAGUUGUGAAAACUAUGGGCUCAACCCAUAGAUUGCAGUUGAAACUGUUAUUCUUGAGUGGAGUAGAGGCAAGCGGAAUUCCGAGUGUAGCGGUGAAAUGCGUAGAUAUUCGGAGGAACACCAGUGGCGAAGGCGGCUUGCUGGGCUCUAACUGACGCUGAGGCUCGAAAGUGUGGGGAGCAAACAGGAUUAGAUACCCUGGUAGUCCACACUGUAAACGAUGAUUGCUAGGUGUGGGGGGUCUGACCCCCUCCGUGCCGGAG